rnacentral:rRNA from 1 species
CAAGGAUUCCCCCAGUAACGGCGAGUGAAGUGGGAAUAGCCCAGCACCGAAUCCCUCAGCCUUGCGCUGCCGGGAACUGUGGUGUUUGGGACGACCGCUGUCGUGCAGUUCGGGUGCCCAAGUCCUCCCGAUCGGGGCCUCUCCCAAAGUGGGUGUCAGGCCUUUACCGGCACUCGUCUACACGGCUAUGGUCGUCCUCGGAGUCGGGUUGUUUGGGAAUGCAGCCCAAAGCUGGUGGUAAACUCCAUCUAAGGCUAAAUACUGACACGAGUCCGAUAGA